rnacentral:rRNA from 1 species
UACGUAGGCGGAAUAAUAAGUCAGUGGUGAAAUCCCGCAGCUCAACUGUGGAACUGUCAUUGAUACUGGUUUUCUUGAAUAUAGUUGAGGUAGGCGGAAUGUGUAAUGUAGCGGUGAAAUGCUUAGAUAUUACACAGAACACCGAUUGCGAAGGCAGCUUACUAAACUAUGAUUGACGCUGAGGUACGAAAGCGUGGGGAGCGAACAGGAUUAGAUACCCUGGUAGUCC